rnacentral:rRNA from 1 species
UACGUAGGGGGCUAGCGUUGUCCGGAUUUAUUGGGCGUAAAGAGCUCGUAGGCGGUUUGUCGCGUCUGCUGUGAAAACCCAGGGCUUAACCCUGGGCCUGCAGUGGGUACGGGCAAACUAGAGUGCGGUAGGGGAGAUCGGAAUUCCUGGUGUAGCGGUGAAAUGCGCAGAUAUCAGGAGGAACACCGGUGGCGAAGGCGGAUCUCUGGGCCGUAACUGACGCUGAGGAGCGAAAGCAUGGGUAGCGAACAGG